rnacentral:rRNA from 1 species
UGGGGAAUAUUGGACAAUGGGCGCAAGCCUGAUCCAGCCAUGCCGCGUGAGUGAUGAAGGCCCUAGGGUUGUAAAGCUCUUUCACCGGUGAAGAUAAUGACGGUAACCGGAGAAGAAGCCCCGGCUAACUUCGUGCCAGCAGCCGCGGUAAUACGAAGGGGGCUAGCGUUGUUCGGAUUUACUGGGCGUAAAGCGCACGUAGGCGGACUAUUAAGUCAGGGGUGAAAUCCCGGGGCUCAACCCCGGAACUGCCUUUGAUACUGGUAGUCUUGAGUUCGAGAGAGGUGAGUGGAAUUCCGAGUGUAGAGGUGAAAUUCGUAGAUAUUCGGAGGAACACCAGUGGCGAAGGCGACUCACUGGCUCGAUACUGACGCUGAGGUGCGAAAGCGGGGGGAGCAAACAGG